CGCUUCACUUGUGGGACGUAACCGCAGGAGUGAGGGGAUAAGCGUACUGUGGGGAAGAUGCUGAGAUACGCAAAGGGGUGGCGAAGAUAGUGCCCUAGCAUCGGAAGACUGUCGGGU
rnacentral:sRNA from 12 species